rnacentral:rRNA from 1 species
GACGAACGCUGGCGGCGUGCUUAACACAUGCAAGUCGAACGGAAAGGCCCUGCUUUUGUGGUCUUCUCGAGUGCCGAUCGGGUGCGUAACACGUGUGUAUCCUGCCCUUCACUUUCGUAUAACUUCACGAAACUGGAGCUACUACCGUAUAGGAUCCCCUGCUGCAUGGUGGGGGUUGGAACUUGUCGGCGGUUGGGGAUGGACUCGCGGCUUAGCAGCUUGUUGGUGGGGGAGUGGCUUACCCAGGCUUGGACGGGUAGCCGGCCUGGCAGGGUGACCGGCCACAGUGGGAUUGGGAAACGGCCCAGGCGCCUAAGGGAGGCAGCAGUGGGGAAUAUUGCAAAAUGGGCGGAAGCCUGAUGCAGCAACGCCGCGUGGGGGAGGACGGCCUUCGGGUUGGAAACGGCUUUGGCUCGUGACGAAGUGUGAGGGAGGGUAAUGGGGAAAGAAGCACCGGUAAAUUACGU